rnacentral:rRNA from 1 species
UACGUAGGGUCCAAGCGUUAUCCGGAAUUACUGGGCGUAAAGAGUUGCGUAGGUGGCAUGGAAAGCGAAUAGUGAAAGCGUGUGGCUCAACCAUACAUCCAUUAUUUGAACUCCCAAGCUAGAAGAUGAGAGAGGUAGAUGGAAUUCCUGAUGUAGGGGUAAUAUCCGUAGAUAUCAGGAGGAACACCGAUGGCGUAGGCAGUCUACUGGCUCAUUCUUGACACUAAGGCACGAAAGCGUGGGGAGCAAACGGG